rnacentral:rRNA from 1 species
AGAGUUUGAUCAUGGCUCAGGACGAACGCUGGCGGCGUGCCUAAUACAUGCAAGUCGAACGCUUCUUUUUCCACCGGAGCUUGCUCCACCGGAAAAAGAGGAGUGGCGAACGGGUGAGUAACACGUGGGUAACCUGCCCAUCAGAAGGGGAUAACACUUGGAAACAGGUGCUAAUACCGUAUAACAAUCGAAACCGCAUGGUUUUGAUUUGAAAGGCGCUUUCGGGUGUCGCUGAUGGAUGGACCCGCGGUGCAUUAGCUAGUUGGUGAGGUAACGGCUCACCAAGGCCACGAUGCAUAGCCGACCUGAGAGGGUGAUCGGCCACAUUGGGACUGAGACACGGCCCAAACUCCUACGGGAGGCAGCAGUAGGGAAUCUUCGGCAAUGGACGAAAGUCUGACCGAGCAACGCCGCGUGAGUGAAGAAGGUUUUCGGAUCGUAAAACUCUGUUGUUAGAGAAGAACAAGGAUGAGAGUAACUGUUCAUCCCUUGACGGUAUCUAACCAGAAAGCCACGGCUAACUACGUGCCAGCAGCCGCGGUAAUACGUAGGUGGCAAGCGUUGUCCGGAUUUAUUGGGCGUAAAGCGAGCGCAGGCGGUUUCUUAAGUCUGAUGUGAAAGCCCCCGGCUCAACCGGGGAGGGUCAUUGGAAACUGGGAGACUUGAGUGCAGAAGAGGAGAGUGGAAUUCCAUGUGUAGCGGUGAAAUGCGUAGAUAUAUGGAGGAACACCAGUGGCGAAGGCGGCUCUCUGGUCUGUAACUGACGCUGAGGCUCGAAAGCGUGGGGAGCAAACAGGAUUAGAUACCCUGGUAGUCCACGCCGUAAACGAUGAGUGCUAAGUGUUGGAGGGUUUCCGCCCUUCAGUGCUGCAGCUAACGCAUUAAGCACUCCGCCUGGGGAGUACGACCGCAAGGUUGAAACUCAAAGGAAUUGACGGGGGCCCGCACAAGCGGUGGAGCAUGUGGUUUAAUUCGAAGCAACGCGAAGAACCUUACCAGGUCUUGACAUCCUUUGACCACUCUAGAGAUAGAGCUUCCCCUUCGGGGGCAAAGUGACAGGUGGUGCAUGGUUGUCGUCAGCUCGUGUCGUGAGAUGUUGGGUUAAGUCCCGCAACGAGCGCAACCCUUAUUGUUAGUUGCCAUCAUUCAGUUGGGCACUCUAGCAAGACUGCCGGUGACAAACCGGAGGAAGGUGGGGAUGACGUCAAAUCAUCAUGCCCCUUAUGACCUGGGCUACACACGUGCUACAAUGGGAAGUACAACGAGUCGCGAAGUCGCGAGGCUAAGCUAAUCUCUUAAAGCUUCUCUCAGUUCGGAUUGCAGGCUGCAACUCGCCUGCAUGAAGCCGGAAUCGCUAGUAAUCGCGGAUCAGCACGCCGCGGUGAAUACGUUCCCGGGCCUUGUACACACCGCCCGUCACACCACGAGAGUUUGUAACACCCGAAGUCGGUGAGGUAACCUUUUGGAGCCAGCCGCCUAAGGUGGGAUAGAUGAUUGGGGUGAAGUCGUAACAAGGUACCCGU